rnacentral:rRNA from 1 species
GACGAACGCUGGCGGCGUGCCUAAUACAUGCAAGUCGAACGAGUGGCGGCCGGUUGCGUAAUGUCUGGGAAACUGCCCGCUUGAGGGGGAUAACUACUUGAAACGGUAGCUAAUACCUCAUAUCAUCUGAUGUUCCCUGAUGGGAUUGGCUAGUAGGUGGGUUAACGGCUCACCUAGGCGACGAUCCCUAGCUGGUCUGAUAGGAUGACCAGCAACACGGGAACGGAGUCACGGUCCAGACUCCUACGGGAGGCAGCAGUGGGGAAUAUUGCACAAUGGGCGCAAGCCUGAUGCAGCCAGGCCGCGUGUAUGAAGAAGGCCUUCGGGUUGUAAAGUACUUUCAGCGAGGAGGCGUUACUCGCAGAAGAAGCACCGGCUAACUCCGUGCCAGCAGCCGCGGUAAUAC